UACGAAAAGGAUAAAUGAGUAUAAGUGCCAGAAGGAAAAGAGAGACACAACCGGGUAGAAUGUUUAAGAGAUUUUAUUUAUAUGUUAACAUGUGUGUUUAUGCGUCAUAUAUACAUAAUAAUAGACAGGCCGUCAUGUAUACAAAGUGUAUGUGUGUGCAUUAAGUACAGAGCAUUGAAAGAGUCUAUAAUAUGACGUUAGAAGAAUGUUCAGACACAAGGAUGAUAAAUACCAGUUCGUAGUCAAGGUACACGAUAGUUGAAGUGCAGUAACAAGAAGUUGUGGCAGUAAUGCAGAGCCGGUUGAGGUACAUGUCGUACGUGAAGCCGUGGUUACGAUGCAGAGCCGGUUACUUGUUACAGGAGUUCUCGCAGAUUGUAUUUGCUGUUAACCAUGGUGAAGUAAUUCACAAACAGUGUUGAGAUAGAACCUGUUCGAGGGUUGCUGGUUGCUGUGUACGUAGAGAGAUAAAAGAGAUGUUAGGACGAAGUGUUUAUG